rnacentral:rRNA from 1 species
UACGUAGGGGGCAAGCGUUGUCCGGAUUUAUUGGGCGUAAAGAGCGUGUAGGCGGCCUUACAGGUCAGCUGUGAAAACUCGAGGCUCAACCUCGAGACGUCGGUUGAAACCGUAUGGCUAGAGUCCGGAAGAGGAGAGUGGAAUUCCCGGUGUAGCGGUGAAAUGCGCAGAUAUCAGGAAGAACACCCGUGGCGAAAGCGGCUCUCUGGGACGGUACUGACGCUGAGACGCGAAAGCGUGGGGAGCAAACAGG